UAGUGACAAAAAACUUCGGAUUAGUUUUAUAUUAUCCAAUAUCUUUAAUAACUCCAAUACGAUCAGUUUGCGAGAGUGCAUUGACGAAAGUAACACUUGGCUUCAAAUCAUAACCAAUUUUUAAUUAGUCUACUGAACGCUGCCAAGGGCGACUCAGGUCUGUAAUGCCCAACUAAGUAGACAUAAAAAUAAAUCAAAAUGAACUCUAUUCGCUAUUUUAUCUGGUACUUACUUUGCGCACAUUUGCGAGUACUGCGACCAGAUUUAAUGAACCAACAAAAACUAAUAACUUCUGGGAUAGAAAAAUAGUAGUAACAGAAGAUGGAGAGAAAUUUAUGAAUUUGCAAAAUGUGAAUGUUCACUCAACAUUUAUGGAAAUGCUGAACAAUUUAUGAACUUUCGAUUGUUUGUCAAAAUGGCGCGCAUAAAAUGUUAAUAAAUCGUCUGGAAAUUCUAAAUGGUCAUAUGAAGCGAAUGAUGGUCGUUUCCCAGCUUUAUUGAGCAUUCCGAGUUCCUCCUUAACGUUGGCAUUCUUUGCACAAGAGUCAAAUGGCUAAUUUGACUUUUAACGAUGAUUUCACAUUAUAACUGAAACAUUAAGUUUAUUUUCUAUUCCAAUAAAUGUUCACAGAUAAAUGAA